AAGAAGGAAAGAAGAUGAAACUAUUUGGUGUGCAUUUCCUUUUCAAUUUUUCUCUUGGUUGAAGAUUGUUCUUGAUCUUGAAAAUUAUGAACGCUUCUUGUCCUUCAAGUUGAAAAUUUUAUCAUGUGAAAAAAUUAUUUUCUUCUAUUUAUUAGUCAAAAACUUAUUUUGUUUUUGUUUAUUUACUGCUAGUUCAUGUGAUAUCUUAAUUUUUUGCUUUUAAU
rnacentral:lncRNA from 1 species